GACGAACGCUGGCGGCGUGCUUAACACAUGCAAGUCGAACGGAAAGGCCCUGCUUUUGUGGGGUGCUCGAGUGGCGAACGGGUGAGUAACACGUGAGUAACCUGCCCUUGACUUUGGGAUAACUUCAGGAAACUGGGGCUAAUACCGGAUAGGAGCUCCUGCUGCAUGGUGGGGGUUGGAAAGUUUCGGCGGUUGGGGAUGGACUCGCGGCUUAUCAGCUUGUUGGUGGGGUAGUGGCUUACCAAGGCUUUGACGGGUAGCCGGCCUGAGAGGGUGACCGGCCACAUGGGGACUGAGAUACGGCCCAGACUCCUACGGGAGGCAGCAGUGGGGAAUAUGGCACAAUGGGCGGAAGCCUGAUGCAGCAACGCCGCGUGCGGGAUGACGGCCUUCGGGUUGUAAACCGCUUUCGCCUGUGACGAAGCGUGAGUGACGGUAAUGGGUAAAGAAGCACCGGCUAACUACGU
rnacentral:rRNA from 1 species